AGGACGAACGCUGGCGGCGUGCUUAACACAUGCAAGUCGAGCGGAAAGGCCCUUCGGGGUACUCGAGCGGCGAACGGGUGAGUAACACGUGAGCAACCUGCCCUUAGCUCCGGGAUAGCUCCGGGAAACCGGAAUUAAUACCGGAUACGACCACGGCCGAUAUCUGCUGUGGUGGAAAGGAUUCCGGCUAAGGAUGGGCUCGCGGCCUAUCAGCUAGUUGGUGGAGUAACGGCCCACCAAGGCGACGACGGGUA
rnacentral:rRNA from 1 species